rnacentral:rRNA from 1 species
GGCUGUCGUCAGCUCGUGUCGUGAGAUGUUGGGUUAAGUCCGUACGAGCGCAACCCUUGUCCUUAGUUACCAGCACGUUAUGGUGGGCACUCUAAGGAGACUGCCGGUGACAACCGGAGGAAGGUGGGGGAUGACGUCAAGUCAUCAUGGCCCUUACGGCCUGGGCUACACACGUGCUACAAUGGUCGGUACAAAGGGUUGCCAAGCCGCGAGGUGGAGCUAAUCCCAUAAAACCGAUCGUAGUCCGGAUCGCAGUCUGCAACUCGACUGCGUGAAGUCGGAAUCGCUAGUAAUCGUGAAUCAGAAUGUCACGGUGAAUACGUUCCCGGGCCUU